GUGUGAGAGAAACUCUUCCUCUUCUCUUCGUCGAUAGCUUCUCUCUAUGUCCAUGAUUUUUCAUUAGCUUGUCUUCUUUGCCUUCGAGCUACCGUUCUCAUCUGUAUAGACGCAACCAAAGACCAAACCCAAGGCAAAAUCGGAUCAAUCGUAGCAAUCGGAGGAAGCGAAAUCACAAUACCACCACCAAAAAUGACUUGUUCAUCGGAAUCAAACACACUCAGUAUCAUUCUAUUAUUGUCAGAUUGUGACUGAUUUUGGUUUCCGUUUGUUUUUCCCAGAGACAGAUGCUGGUUCACUUUCUGGAUUUUCAACCAAAAGCCUUUCUAAUUUGAAUUCUCCCGUUCUCUUCAGGAGCUGAAACGGAGACAUCACAUGUAUAUAACUCAGUUUUCCUCAUGACUUGUGAAGUUCUUGGUUCCUCUUCCUCUGAUCCUUCUAAUAGCUUGUGUUUGGUUGUUCAACAAAAAACUGCUUCUUGCUUGUGUUUGACAACUGUCACGAACGAAGACAAGCUUGAGUUCAGCAAGAUCCUUGAGGCAUGGCAAUUGUUAUUGGUCUCUGCAUAUGCGUUAUGACUCUUAUGAAGAAAUAGAGAGUUCACACAAAGCCAAAGGCUCUAAGGUCAUCUGCUGAUGGAAUGGCGUUGGCUGUUAAAUGGUAUGAGUUGGCGAUUUACUAGAGCUGCUUCGGUUUCUUUAUGACUUGGUUUGGUGAAGAAAUGUACUUGUCUUUUUUUUUUAUGACUUUGUUUGGUAAUUCAAACAUUUGUAUUCUUUUGGGUAUUUGAUAGAAUAAUUCUAUGUAAAAUGUAUG